rnacentral:rRNA from 1 species
GAUGAACGCUGGCGGCGUGCCUAAUACAUGCAAGUCGAGCGAACGGACGAGAAGCUUGCUUUUCUGAUGUUAGCGGCGGACGGGUGAGUAACACGUGGAUAACCUACCUAUAAGACUGGGAUAACUUCGGGAAACCGGAGCUAAUACCGGAUAAUAUUUUGAACCGCAUGGUUCAAAAGUGAAAGACGGUCUUGCUGUCACUUAUAGAUGGAUCCGCGCUGCAUUAGCUAGUUGGUAAGGUAACGGCUUACCAAGGCAACGAUGCAUAGCCGACCUGAGAGGGUGAUCGGCCACACUGGAACUGAGACACGGUCCAGACUCCUACGGGAGGCAGCAGUAGGGAAUCUUCCGCAAUGGGCGAAAGCCUGACGGAGCAACGCCGCGUGAGUGAUGAAGGUCUUCGGAUCGUAAAACUCUGUUAUUAGGGAAGAACAUAUGUGUAAGUAACUGUGCACAUCUUGACGGUACCUAAUCAGAAAGCCACGGCUAACUACGUGCCAGCAGCCGCGGUAAUACGUAGGUGGCAAGCGUUAUCCGGAAUUAUUGGGCGUAAAGCGCGCGUAGGCGGUUUUUUAAGUCUGAUGUGAAAGCCCACGGCUCAACCGUGGAGGGUCAUUGGAAACUGGAAAACUUGAGUGCAGAAGAGGAAAGUGGAAUUCCAUGUGUAGCGGUGAAAUGCGCAGAGAUGUGGAGGAACACCAGUGGCGAAGGCGACUUUCUGGUCUGUAACUGACGCUGAUGUGCGAAAGCGUGGGGAUCAAACAGGAUUAGAUACCCUGGUAGUCCACGCCGUAAACGAUGAGUGCUAAGUGUUAGGGGGUUUCCGCCCCUUAGUGCUGCAGCUAACGCAUUAAGCACUCCGCCUGGGGAGUACGACCGCAAGGUUGAAACUCAAAGGAAUUGACGGGGGCCCGCACAAGCGGUGGAGCAUGUGGUUUAAUUCGAAGCAACGCGAAGAACCUUACCAAAUCUUGACAUCCUUUGACAACUCUAGAGAUAGAGCCUUCCCCUUCGGGGGACAAAGUGACAGGUGGUGCAUGGUUGUCGUCAGCUCGUGUCGUGAGAUGUUGGGUUAAGUCCCGCAACGAGCGCAACCCUUAAGCUUAGUUGCCAUCAUUAAGUUGGGCACUCUAAGUUGACUGCCGGUGACAAACCGGAGGAAGGUGGGGAUGACGUCAAAUCAUCAUGCCCCUUAUGAUUUGGGCUACACACGUGCUACAAUGGACAAUACAAAGGGCAGCGAAACCGCGAGGUCAAGCAAAUCCCAUAAAGUUGUUCUCAGUUCGGAUUGUAGUCUGCAACUCGGCUACAUGAAGCUGGAAUCGCUAGUAAUCGUAGAUCAGCAUGCUACGGUGAAUACGUUCCCGGGUCU